AUUGAACGCUGGCGGCAUGCCUUACACAUGCAAGUCGAACGGUAACAGGUUAAGCUGACGAGUGGCGAACGGGUGAGUAAUGUAUCGGAACGUGCCCAGUCGUGGGGGAUAACUGCUCGAAAGAGCAGCUAAUACCGCAUACGGCCUGAGGGUGAAAGCGGGGGAUCGCAAGACCUCGCGCGAUUGGAGCGGCCGAUAUCAGAUUAGGUAGUUGGUGGGGUAAAGGCCUACCAAGCCUACGAUCUGUAGCUGGUCUGAGAGGACGGCCAGCCACACUGGGACUGAGACACGGCCCAGACUCCUACGGGAGGCAGCAGUGGGGAAUUUUGGACAAUGGACGCAAGUCUGAUCCAGCCAUGCCGCGUGCGGGAAGAAGGCCUUCGGGUUGUAAACCGCUUUUGUCAGGGAAGAAAAGGCUUCUGCUAAUACCGGAGGCUCAUGACGGUACCUGAAGAAUAAGCACCGGCUAACUACGUGCCAGCAGCCGCAGUAACAC
rnacentral:rRNA from 1 species